GAAUUACAGUACGAAUCUGUAGAUGCUAAGUUGAGUGCAGUUUUAAAAAGAUGUCGUUCAGGAACGGUCGAUCGACAGAGGUUUAUAAAAGUUUGUCGGAACCAAAGACCAAACAUAAAAAAACGGUCUCAGCAAAACCAUCACCCAUAGAUUCUGAGGACGUAAAGCUUAGUUGGAGCCAAAGAAUUCGUUUUAAUAUUCGCUCCCUCUGUUGCUGUGCAAAACCGAUGACAAAAUAGACAAAUGACUUCCCAUUCCCAUACAAUUCAGUUUUCAAUCAUAUUUUUAAUUUUACGAAGUAAAUUGUAUUAAUCAGUCUUUAUCUGAUGAAAAUUCGUAUACGUAUGUAGGACAUUAUUUAUAAAUUAAAUAAAAUAUAAUGCAGUACCUGCA